AUGAAAACUGUUUCUGUAUCAUCAAAAGAAGAUGCAUCUAUGACAGAAACCGGCAACGAUGACACGGAACCUCUACAGCAACCAGAGGUCAUGAUUUAUGACAUCCCCUCGUCAAUGUUUCCAAGCAUCAAAGAAGCAGAUGCCACAACAGAAACAACCUACAACGACAAUCACAGCAAGGUGGCUUUGUGGCCAGACAUCCCCUCGUCAAUGUGUUCAACAAUCAAAGAAGUAAAUGCACGAAUACAAUCAUUCUAUAACGAUGAUCACGAUAAUGAUGAAGUCAUAUGUGAGAAAGACAAAACCAUCAAAGAAGUAGAUGGACCAAGACAAUCAAUCUACAACGAUGAUCACGGUAAUGAUGAAGUCAUAUUUGAAGAAGAUACAAAUGAGGAUGAAUACAUGUUCUUUGGUGAAGAAGAGGAUGAGGAAGUGGAAAUUGAAAUCAAGGAAGACGAGGAACUUCACAAUCCUGAUCCGUAUGAUUUUGUCUACAGCAACAUACCAAAGAACACACACGUAGAUACAACUGACAUUCGAACAACUGGUAUUUACACCUUUCGAGCUCAUGGUCAGAUCUAUCACAACAUACACUCAUUUGGUAAUAGUCACUCAGAUCCAAAGCAUAUGGAGCUAUACUUCUACGAUGAUGAUCCAAGCUUAGAGCAUCGGUACCGCCACUGUCGCGAGGCAAUGAAAAUCCCAAAGAAGGAUACACAAGAGGAAGAUGUUGGUGCUGAAAAUAUCAAUAAUGAUGAUGAUCCAGAUGCUAUGGCUUUAGUUAGAAAAUAUGGAAAGCCGGAUGUAUUCCUCACAAUGACCUGCAACCCCAACUGGGAAGAGAUCACACGUGAACUACAGUUCGGACAAACACCACAAGAUCGCCCAGACAUUGUAGUUCGUGUCUUCAGGGCCAAGCUAGAAGAAAUGAAGAAGCAACUAUUUGAGAAGGCCAUUCUUGGAAAGGUUCAGGCAUAUACAUAUGUCGUAGAGUUCCAAAAGAGGGGACUACCCCGUGCUCACUUUUUGCUCAUCAUGACCGGGAAAUACAAAUACACAUGUCCGGAACAGUAUGACAGAAUUAUCUCCGCUGAGCUCCCUGACAAGCACAAGUACCCGGAGCUACACAAAAUGGUAGUCAAACAUAUGAUGCAUUGUCCUUGCGGUGCAUUGAAUAAAUUUUGUCCAUGCACAAAGAAUCGUCCGUCAUGCAAGAAUAAUUAUCCAAGGCCAUUUAACGAAACUACGAUUCAAGGCAAGGACUCCUACCCACUUUAUAGGAGACGCAAUGAUGGUCCGACUGAAAUGGUCCGCAAUUGCCAACUAGAUAAUAGGUGGGUUGUUCCUUACAACCCCUAUCUGUUAAGGAUGUUCAACUGCCACAUAAAUAUUGAGAUAUGCUCAAGCAUUAAAGCCGUUAAGUACCUCUUCAAGUACAUCUACAAGGGUCAUGACCGAGCAUCUGUGUCAGUAACUGACAAAGUGGACGAAGUCGAAAUCGACGAGAUUAAACAAUACAGAGACGCACGGUGGGUGACGCCUCCGGAAGCACUGUGGAGAAUAUAUGGCUUUGAACUAAGCAAAAUGCACCCACCUGUCUUGCAACUGCAGCUACAUCUCCCAAAUAUGCACAUGGUUUCAUAUCAUGGUAUGGAAAAAAUAAAGAAUGUUAUCAACCGUGAUGGCACAGAAAGAUCAAUAUUGACAGCGUACUUUGAAGCAAACAGCUUAUAUGAGAAAGCACGAGGCAUACUAUACAAAGACUUUCCACAAUAUUAUACUUGGCAAAGACGAGGGAAGUUUUGGCAAGAGAGGAAGCGAGCCGCUGUGUUCCAGGUUGGCAGGAUCGUCUCAGCACACCUGGCUGAAGGAGAACGAUACUAUCUUCGAGUUCUCCUAAACCACGUGACAGGCGCCACCAGCUACGAAGACCUACGAACAGUCGAUGGACAAGUAAUGCCAACCUUCCGUGAAGCUGCAGAAAAACGGGGGCUCAUUGAGGCAGACAACACACUAGAUGAUUGCAUGACAGAAGCUGAGUUGUUUCGGAUGCCAUCAUCGCUCAGAAGGCAAUGUCAGAAGACUACAGCAGAAACUGCAAAUGCAAGCACACGGUCAAACAGAUGGUUCGGAAAAAUAUCAGACAUGUUGCACUCAAUGGGGAAAGACAUAGAAUCGUUUCCUCUUCCAGAUAUCGACAAACAGCAUGAGACGACAGACGACAUACCUAGGGAGAUCAUUGAGGAGACCUCCAUCGAGGUGGACCCUGAGGACGCAUCGUUGCAUAAAAACCUCAACAACGAGCAGAGGAAGGCCUACGACGAAAUCCUAGCCACGGUUGACCGCCAAAGAGGAGGUAUAUUCUUUGUCGAUGGGCCGGGAGGCACAGGAAAAACUUUUCUUUACAGGGCGCUUUUGGCCACAGUGCGCGGACAAGGCAAGAUUGCUGUGGCGACGGCCACUUCCGGUGUUGCUGCUUCCAUAAUGCCUGGAGGGAGAACCGCACACUCGAGGUUUAAGAUUCCACUAAAAAUAGACAAUGGAGCUAUUUGUAGGUUCACAAAACAAAGUGGGACAGGAAAGCUACUCCAAGCAGCAUCACUAAUACUCUGGGAUGAAGCAUCUAUGACUAAGAGGCAGACAGUGGAGGCGUUAGACAAAAGCAUGCGGGACAUAACGGACAGACCAGAUCUUCAAUUUGGUGGAAAAACUAUUGUAUUUGGGGGAGAUUUUAGACAAGUGCUACCUAUUGUCCGGAAGGGAACCAGAGCCCAAAUAGUAGAUGCAUCACUGCGCAGGUCAGAGCUCUGGAAUUGCAUGCGUCAAUUGAAGCUUGUACGCAACAUGAGGGCUCAAAACGACUCUUGGUUCGCAGAAUACCUACUACGCAUUGGGAACGGAACCGAGGAGACAAAUGAUGAUGGUGAAAUACUACUACCUACAAGCAUAUGUGUGCCAAAUAAGACGGAUGAUAAUGGCCUCGAUAGACUCAUCAACAGUAUCUACCAAACAGGCAAUGCUUCACUAAAAGAUCCAAAGUACAUCAUAUCAAGAGCAAUUUUAUCCACAAGGAACGAUUGCGUAGACAAAAUCAACCUAAAAAUGAUUGAUCGCUUCCAGGGGGAGGAGAUGGUGUACCACAGCUUUGAUUCUGUAGAAGACGACCCACAUAACUACUAUCCACCAGAAUUCCUAAACACCCUAACCCCAAAUGGACUGCCUCCGCAUAUGUUGAAGCUCAAAAUUAAUUGUCCAAUCAUACUACUCAGGAACAUCGACCCUGCUAAUGGACUCUGCAAUGGCACGAGGUUGGUCGUACGUGGUUUUCAAAAAAAUACAAUUGAUGCAGAGAUUGUGAGCAACCGCGACAUCAAACAUAAAGUCUCAAAAAGACCCGUGGCCUUCACUGCUGUAGCAAUACAAACAGCAGCACCAACACCAAUCACAGGUGGAUCAACUCCAACUGCAGCUGCUAGGGAUCUUGGUGCACAGGUUGAACACGGUGGCAAGGGAACCAGACGACAAGGGCAUAUUGGUACUAAGUUCGUUGCUGCAGUGCAGUACAUGGAAAGAGAGGACAGGGGCGAGAGUGGGGGUGGACCUCCAUGGCACCAGCAGCAGUACGUCGGAGGAGCUCGGAGCAGUGGAGCCGUCUCCUCGCCCCUCGCAGGGCCUCGUCGGCGGCGAGCAGGACCACGCCGUGGAACAAUCUGCAUCCAACUCCUCCUCUACCGGCCAGGAGCCCGCUGCAUCCGCGCGAGGAAGCGCUGUGGAGGGCACGACGGUACAGCCACAUCCUUCGUGCCCUCAUCCUCCGAGAACGACGAGAAGACGGGAGGCGGCGGCGCCGCCGCUUGGCCAGCACCAGGAGAGAAAAUGGGGAACGGGAAGAGAUAUCGAGUUCCUUCGUAUCACAUAGGGCCAGAAAAUUUGCGUUGGGCCACGGGCCGCCGCCUACCCGGCUCCAGCCGAACGCGCGCCGGCCGCUCUGGCACGGCGGCGGUCCGCAAUCCUCUAAUUCAUCUUAUCCAAACUCCUUCCUUUCCAGCGACGGCGGAGCACGGGCAGGUGACGGGCGGCGCCCUUGUCGUCGGACGGCUACAACCGCGGUGGAGGAGAAGGCAGACGUCGUGGGUGCGUGCUUGGGUAAGGGAGGCCACCCUUGCUGUGCUCGUGGGCGUUCAUGGAGGAUGGAAGGGGGGACAGCUUCCUGUGGGUGCGCCGGCUGUGCUCGUGGGCGUUCAUGGAGGAUGGAAGGUGGGACAGCAUCCUGUGGUAAGGGUCCUCGGCCGGAAUCUCCAUCAGGUCGUGCCCUGGGACCAUAAUCUCCAUCAUCCCGUCGAAAUUGCAAUUUUUGACCAAACGUCCAAUGUCACCGCCAAGUUCGCCGGAGGAAAAAGCGCCGAGUUCGCCGGAGGAACAAGAACAUCCGUCGAGCCGUGCAAUGUCUCCUAUGGAGGCUACACGAGAGAAUGGGAUGCGCCGUCGCCGCCGCCAGCACGGUCCCAACAGCUGCCGCGAGUCUCCACGAUCGACGUCGCCGUCCGUCUGUGCCCCGAGCUCGACGGUUCUCCGGCUGACAAGCAUUCGUUCAUGUCCCCGCCAGUGUUAGGCGUUGCUCGCCACCGCCCCAGAUCGCUUUCGUGCGUCAUCGCCGCCCCAAGCUCCAUGAGCUAA
rnacentral:rRNA from 1 species